rnacentral:lncRNA from 1 species
CUACCGUUUUUAGGGAGCUACCAUUUGAUUUUUAUGGGGGGGCUAGGAUGAAAUUUGAAAAAAAUAGGCAGGACAGGAGUUUUGAGUAAAAAAAAAAGGCAGGAUGUGACACUUGCAAAAAAAAAAGUCAGGACGACAAUUUAGGUAAAAAAAAGUCAGGAUAAACUAAAAAAAAAAAAAGGCAGGACCGAUUAGAGUAAAAAAUAAAAAGGCAGGACAGAGAUUACAGCUAAAAAAAAAUGCAGGACAAAAUGUUUCAUCCUAGCCCCCCCAUAAAAAUCAAAUGGUAGCUCCCUUA